AACGAACGCUGGCGGCAGGCUUAACACAUGCAAGUCGAACGCCCCGCAAGGGGAGUGGCAGACGGGUGAGUAACGCGUGGGAACGUACCUUUCAGUUCGGAAUAACUCAGGGAAACUUGUGCUAAUACCGGAUACGCCCGCAAGGGGAAAGAUUUAUCGCUGAAAGAUCGGCCCGCGUUGGAUUAGCUAGUUGGUGGGGUAAAGGCCUACCAAGGCGACGAUCCAUAGCUGGUCUGAGAGGAUGAUCAGCCACACUGGGACUGAGACACGGCCCAGACUCCUACGGGAGGCAGCAGUGGGGAAUAUUGGACAAUGGGCGCAAGCCUGAUCCAGCCAUGCCGCGUGUGUGAUGAAGGCCUUAGGGUUGUAAAGCACUUUCACCGAUGAAGAUAAUGACGGUAGUCGGAGAAGAAGCCCCGGCUAACUACGUGCCAGCAGCCGCGGUAAAGUACAGUGU
rnacentral:rRNA from 1 species